CCUACGGGUGGCUGCAGUGGGGAAUAUUGGACAAUGGGGGAAACCCUGAUCCAGCAAUGCCGCGUGAGUGAAGAAGGCCUUAGGGUUGUAAAGCUCUUUCAACUGUGAAGAUGAUGACUGUAACAGUAGAAGAAGCCCCGGCUAACUCCGUGCCAGCAGCCGCGGUAAUACGGAGGGGGCUAGCGUUGUUCGGAAUUACUGGGCGUAAAGCGCGCGUAGGCGGCGAAGCAAGUUAGAGGUGAAAUCCCCGGGCUCAACCUGGGAAUGGCCUAUAAUACUGCUUUGCUUGAGUUCGGAAGAGGGUAGUGGAAUUUCCAGUGUAGAGGUGAAAUUCGUAGAUAUUGGAAAGAACACCAGUGGCGAAGGCGACUACCUGGUCCGAUACUGACGCUGAGGUGCGAAAGCGUGGGGAGCAAACAGGAUUAGAUACCCUAGUAGUC
rnacentral:rRNA from 1 species